UUUGAUGGCGACCGGCGCACGGGUGAGUAACACGUAUCCAACCUGCCGAUGACUCGGGGAUAGCCUUUCGAAAGAAAGAUUAAUACCCGAUGGCAUAGUUCUUCCGCAUGGUGGAACUAUUAAAGAAUUUCGGUCAUCGAUGGGGAUGCGUUCCAUUAGGUUGUUGGCGGGGUAACGGCCCACCCAAGCCUUCGAUGGAUAGGGGUUCUGAGAGGAAGGUCCCCCACCAUUGGAACUGAGACACGGUCCAAACUCCUACGGGAGGCAGCAUG
rnacentral:rRNA from 1 species